GACAUUUAUUUUGUGAGUACUUUUUCAAACUACAAAGACUGUGAAUAUUUUGGAAGUGACAAAAAGAUUUCUGGCCAAACCCAACUUUGGAUAAACCCCCUUCUCUGCACAGAUGGGCUCCUGCUAAGCCUGCUGAGGCCCAGCUUUGCUACUUUAAUGAGAAGCAAACUUUCUACGCUGGCAUCAUUGUUAUUUUUGCUUUUUUUACACAGACAGACAACAAAGAUUCUAGGAAGCCCAAAGAAGAACUUCCUCAACAGCCAUAAACCUCAUCGGGGAGACGGGUCUCAGAGUCAGACACACUUAAAUUUUAGCUUCAAGAUGUAAAAGCAAAAUCCGAACUGCUUCUCUGCCACAUAGAAGUUGGCUGGCUUUUCUGACGCCAUGCCUUGAAGGGCUUUUUCAAACUAAGGGCACAGAGUUUACUUUAACUAAAUGCAAAAGGACAAACAGGAGAGGAAAUCCAGCCAGGCCGUUAUCAGACCAGGAGCCUGCUGCCCCCCUGGCUGGCUGGAGGAGGCUCCUCCACCAAGGGAAGGCGUCUGGCUUUCGGGUCCCUGUCCCGGAGCCAGCCUUACAGCCGGGAUUGAGCAAAGUGAAACAUGCUUGGCUCAGCGGCUGCUCAAGAAGCAGCUGCAAGAUCUGCUUCUUCCACGUGGAGCUGUACAAAAAUCUGCCUCUGUCUUUGGAGAAGGAAUUCCAUAAAUUCUGGAAAGCUCCAGAAAUCUUCCCGAAGUCAUUUCCUUCAAGGACGGCUCCGAAGGGGAACUGCGGGUGUGCAGUGUGUUUCUCUCUUGGAAAAGCGAGCCAGAGUUGAGGUCUCCCGAGUGGACACAACACCGGAUGUCCACAACGUAAAGGAGCAGAGGAUGAUUUGGCUCACAGCUGCGGUGGGUUCAGCCCAAAGGUGGCUGCCUUCCCUCUGUGUCCUCACUGGGCCCCUCUCCGUUCUGUGUGCACAGACAGAGGCGGGCAUGGCUCCUUGUCUGUAGGAUUAACACUUCAUACUUACGACCUCAUUUAACUCUCCUUCCAAAAAGCUGAGGAUCAAUGGAACAGAUUAGAAGAUGCAGAAAUAACCACAGAUACACUCAGCCACCUUCUCUUUGACAAAGGUGCAAACACCUCCACUGGAAGAAAGAAAGACAGCCUGUUUAACAAAUGGUGCUGGAAAAACUGGCUCUCUACACGCCAAAAAUUAAAACUAGACUAAUAACCCUCACCAUGCACUAAAUUAAAAUUGAAAUGGAUUGAAGAUCUAAAUAUUAAAGUAGAAACACUAACUCCACUAGAGGAUAUAAUACAUAGAACUCUUGAAGACACAGGGGUAGGCAAAGACUUUAUGAACAAAACCCCAGCCACACAGGAACUAUUACAAAGAAUCAACAACUGGGAUCUCAUCUUGCUUCUGAAAAGCUUUUGCACAGCAAGAGAAACCACCAACAAUGUGAAGAGACAGCCCACAGAGUGGGGAAAAGAUGUUUGCCAGCUGUUCCUCUGACAAAAGACUACUAUCUAAAAUAUAGAGAGAACUAAAAAAAUCAGAUCCCCCAAAUUUAAGACCUAAUCUAAAAAUAGGCAUCUGAAACACAUACACACUUCUCAGAUGAGCAAGUAGAAACAGAAAAUUUAUGAAAAACUGUUCAAUAUCAUUGAUCAUUGGAGAGAUGCAAAUUAAAAACAACACUGAGAUCCCACUUCACCCCAGGAAGAAUCAAGAAAUUACAAAUAACCAAUGCUGGCAGCACCGUGGGGAAAAGGAACCCUUUUCUGCUGUUGGUGGCAGGGUAGACUGUUGUAACCGCUGUGGAAAUCAGUGUGGAGAGUCUUCAAGACACUAGGACUACAGGUUCCAUUCAAACCAGGUCCCCCUCAUGGUGUCUUCCCCAAAGAACUAAAAGCAUCGUAUCACAGCAAUGUAUGAGCAUUUGUAGCGGCACAGUUUGUAAUAAGCAAAUCUUCGAAACACCCCAAUACCCAUCAACCCGUGCAUGGAGAAUAAGAGGGGGUUUUUUACGCGAUGGGGCAGUACUCUGCCGUAAAUAUAGAUACGCUUGAGGCGUUUUUAGCUACGUGGAUGCACUGUGAGCCCACACUCUUAAGUGAAAUAAAUUGCACGCACGUGUCGUGUGUAAAUACUGCGUUGUUUCUCUGCUGUGACAAACCAAAAGUCCAAAUAAGGACAGAAAUGUAUCAUAGGUGUAGUGAAAUGGGAAAAAUUGUUCAGAUGGGGAGGGGAACACGGGAGCCGGGCGGGCGAGAGGAAGGAAGAGAAAAGAAAAAGCAUGAUGACGAAAGAAGGAAAAAUGGAAACAAAGUUUUUCAAUAAGGAGGGAACCAGAGAUUACAGGGAAGGCAGGGCUGGGGAGAAAGGAAUCAAGAGAUGCCGUGGAAAGGUACGAGUUCCCUGGGAUGAGUGCGAUCAUUGUGAGCACCUAACUGGACCAGUGAGCUUAAUUAAUUAAAAAAAGAAACAAAAACAGCUCAGAGGGCUCAGCCCAGGGCCAGCUGACCCAAGGGGGGCAGAAGAAGGGGUGGCCGGAGGAGGCUGCUCCCCGCGAGAUGGCUUCUGGUUUUAUGUUUUAUUUUUUUUCAGUGCUGAGGCCUGAACUCAGGGCCUUGUGCACAGUAAGCAAGUGCUCUGCCCCUGAGGCUUGCCUCCUUUUUAUUUCUGAGUUUAGCAAUUUGAAUCUUUUUCUUGGUCUGUCUAGCUAAAGGUUUGUCAAUUUUGUUGAUUUUCUGGUGUGUGUUAAUGCUUGAGGCAUUGGGAUUGAUCCCCAGCACUGCAAAAAGAAAAACAAAACAGAAUUUUAAAAACACCCUUAGGUUUCAUUGACGUGUUUCUCUCUUCUCGGUUUUGAUUGCUUCUGCUGUAAUCUUAUCAUCCCUUCUUUCCACUAGUCUUGUGUUUUAUUGUUCUUGUUUUUAAUCUAUAGUGCCUUCCAUGUAAAGUUAGGUUUUAGAGUUCAGAGCAUGUAUAUUUUGUUGUUCUUUUGUUUUAUAUAAGAAAAAGAAACCUAAGCAUUUAAGUAAGUCCCCAACUUGCCUGUAGGCAGACUGUGAGCUAAAUAAACCCUUCCCUCCUCUAA